rnacentral:rRNA from 1 species
AUUGAACGCUGGCUGCAGGCCUAACACAUGCAAGUCGAGCGGAUCGGCGGACGGGUGAGUAAUGCCUAGGAAUCUGUCUGGUAGUUGGGGAUAACGUCGGGAAACGGGCGCGAAUACCGCAUACUAUCAGAUGAGCCUAGGUCGGAUGUGCUAGUUGGUGGGGUAAAGGCCUACCAAGGCGACGAUCCGUAACUGGGCUGAGAGGAUGAUCAGUCACACUGGAACUGAGACACGGUCCGGACUCCUACGGGAGGCAGCAGUGGGGAAUAUUGGACAAUGGGCGAAAGCCUGAGCCAGCCAUGCCGCGUGUGUGAAGAAGGUCUUCGGAUUGUAAAGCACUUUAAGUUGGGAGGCGUUACCAACAGAAUAAGCACCGGCUAACUUCGUGCCAGCCGCCGCGGUAAUAC